AUGGCAUCUAGCCCCAACUCCGUGGUUGCGCCUUCCCGCCGGGCUGGCGAGCGGCCGGUAGUGUCCUCGUGCUCGGAGUCGUCGGGGGCUGUGGGUGGCCCUGAGGUCUCGUCGGGGUUGCAGCGCGUCGAGGGCCUGGGCGCCAGUCCGGUGGCUGCGGGCGCGGGGACGGGGACGGGCGGUCACCGGCAGGUGGCGCAGUGGGCCCCGACACCGCCGUCCAGGAAGACCCUAUGGAGGCGGCGCCAUGACCGGGAUCUCCAGGCCCUGCAGCAGCGCCCCCGUCCUUCUUCGUCUUCCCCGCGCCGAGAGAUGUCCCCGGACAUGGACGGGCUCUGCAUCCGGUGCCUGCGGGAGGGCCACUUCCGGCACGACUGCACCAACCAAAUUGUCUGCAUCAGAUGUGGCGAGGAAGGGCACGGCUCCAGGGGCUGCAAGCAGCCUCGCAGUCCUUCGUCGGAAGCGGAGCUUCGGCGUCAAGCGGUGGCCAUGGUGGCGCGGCGCACUUCCCGGGUGGCAUCUUCUCCAAGCAGCUCACUUCCGCCGCUGCCGCUGCCACCACUGACGGCUCCGGUGCAGGCUUGGCUGAGGCUUGGUGCGCAGCACCCCCUCCCUCGGCCCCUCGACUUCAGAUGCAGAUGGAUGCGGCCAUGGGUCCGUCGGAGCUAUGCGUCGUUCGUCGUACUCUGGCCAUGA
rnacentral:rRNA from 1 species